rnacentral:lncRNA from 1 species
GCUGGCGGCGGAGGUGGUGGAGGUGGAGGUGGAAUGUUAGAAAUUUCAGCUAAAGCACGUUCAGCUGAAUCUGAUAAAGAACUAUACGAGGGAGAAGAUGAAGAAGAAGAUAAUGACGACGAUGACGAUGAUGAUGGCAAUAGCGUCGACGAUGGCCGUGGUGGUGGCUUAGGAACACGGGGAACACGUGAUCUCAAACUCAUAAUGUCAGCAGAUAUGUCAGCUAACUCGUCUGAAUUACUCCGAGAAUGUCUAGGCCUGUCACACAUUUCCAUUGCACUAACUAUUUCCUCUUUCAUCUCACACUCUGGUUUCGAAGUCACACUAAUGCUAGGUUGAGUCACGCAUUUUCUCAAAUACUUGGUCAUGUUAGAUUUGUUUUGAGCACCAUUUGUUACAGCAUCCACAAGCCUAUGAGCUGAUAACUCUUCAUUAGCUUUCUUCAGCUCAGAAAUUUCAGUUUGCAGCAUCGACAAGCCUAUGAGCUGAUAACUCUUCAUUAGCUUUCUUCAGCUCAGAAAUUUCAGCUUCCAUUACUUUUACCCUCUCUUCAUGCCUCCCGUUUUGCUUCACUAGCUCAAUGUGUAACAUCUCUACUUCUU